rnacentral:rRNA from 1 species
CCUGAGAAACCCGAAAGAUCGAAUGGGGAGAUUCAUCGUCAGCGUUUCCGGUAGGUGUGCGGCUCGCGAUGUCGGAGACUUCGGUUUCGCGGCACGCGUCCGCAUGUUUUUUUAUUGCUGGAAUCGUCGGCGUGCACUUCUCCCCUAGUAGGACGUCGCGACCCGUUGGGUGUCGGUCUACGGCACGGUAGGUAGCCUGUCACGUUUGGCGCUUCACGGCGUUACGCGGGGCAGACCUCCGUUCGCCCGACCGGCUGCCCGGCGGUACUCGCAAGGUAUCUGGCCGCAGACAUACGAACUGCGUCCGGCCCGUCGCAAGCGCGGCAAGUGUUUCCCGGCUGUACGGAUCCAAUGCCGUCACCGGGCCUUGCCAGCUGUUGGUUGACGGUGUCCUGGGACUGGCUAACAAAAUUAUGAUACCGGUCGGCGACGCUACUGCUUUGGGUACUUUCAGGA